rnacentral:lncRNA from 1 species
GCAUACAUAUCUUGGAAUAAUUUUUUUUACACUAGAUUAUACAUUAACAUACUCUGGCAUUCAAUCCGAUUAUCUAUGCUAACAUGCAUUUCUAAAGUCCCAAUUUAAUCUACUCAACAUGUCAAAUUUCAAUAUAAGGCAAUUUUUAUGUGUAUAAUAGGUCCAUACCUUACCAUUUAGUCAUUUUACAUUUUUCCGAGCAUUCAAUAAGUCAUUUAAGCAUCUAUAACCGCAAAUCACUAAGACACAUGCACGCUAAUCAACAUAUAACUUAACCAUUCAUCUAGCAUCAUUCAUGCAACAAUCCAAACAAUAAAAGCACCCAAAAACUAGUUAAAAAAGUCCUUAAUCGAUCCAUGGAAUAUCCAUUUACAAACUAAACUAAAACUAAAGUAUAAUCCCUCAAAAUGAUUCCACAUUGCCAUCCUUUAUUUUCAAGAAAACCAUCUCACAUACACAAUUAAAUUGUUUUGCGUUGAGAUCACAAACUUGCUCACUUCAUCACUCCACACAAGCUAUUUCUCUACAAAAAAAAACACAAGAGAGUGUGAAAUUAAACAAGCUCAGUGAGUGCUCAAGAUACUACAUAACACUUAUCACCAUUAAUCAUUUAAUCAUGUUGAUACAUUGACAUCUUGUCAUUAUGAAAUAUGUAUAACAAUACAACACUUCGGCUCCAUUACACCAAUUACUCAUAGAGUUUAACAUGUUCCAAGUAAGUGUGGCAUUAAGCUAUCACUCUCUAACAUACCAAACAAGUCCAAAUGAAUGGAGCUUAGCUCUACAUUCUCUUAUCCCUCCAACAUGUUCCAAUAUCAAAACACAUAUAUGAAUACUCAAAUCCUAUGAUAUGCUAAAUAGAUCCAAUCAUUUCAAGAGAUCCCAAAGCCAAUAUAUCCACAUUACACAUUCAUUUUCUGGUUUAUGCACACUUACACUUAUCACAUGUUCAUGUAAUGCACUUUCAAGUUUAAUCACUUUGUUCAUUGAGCCACAUAUACUUUCAUAUCAGAUGUACAUUAAACCAACAUAUCAAUAGGCAUAUUUUGACAUAUUCACAUCCAUUUCUUUAACAUAUCACAUGGACAUCUUAUCACAAUUCAUCAUUAUUUGCAAAAUAUUAUAGCUCAAGGAAGAAUCACUUUAACUUUUAAUUUUUUUUUUAAUUUACCCAAGAUUCUAACUCCAUGUAAUAAAAAAUAGAGAAAAAAUUAUACAUGAAUUUUGGUUGAAUGUGCAAUUUGAUACAUGAACUUUAAUUUGGUGCGAUUAUACACAUGAAACUUGAAUUGUGGUUCAUAUGUGUACAUAAAGCUUUGAUUUUAAUUCAAUUGUACACAUUUAAAGAAAUAAUACAUUUAUUUAUUUUCAUAUUGGGUUAAUAUAAUUUUUUUAUACAAUAUAUCAAUAUAAAAUAUUGCUAAUUUGAUAACAUUGUUAGUGGUUUAUGAAAAUUGAAUCAAAUGAUAUUUUUUUGUAUAAAAUCGCACAAAAUUACAUUUUAUAUAUGAAAUUGCACAUUAAAUUAAAAUUCAUGUAUAAUUUUGAUAAUUAACCCAUAUCAAUCGAUAAGUGGGACUUCUUUUUAACAAGUUAGAAGUAUAAAUGGUAUGAGAAUGGAAAUUUUCUUAAAAAGUAAACAAAAAGUACGUCGAAAAAUCCAGUUUCAACCCCAUUGAAAGACAGAACUAAACACAUUGAAAACUCCAUUAACUACCCAACACCACCUUCGCUGCCAUGUCUCAACCCUGUUACCAGUCAUUUCCAUCGGAAGACGAAACAUACAACAUAAUCUCUGUAAACAAUCUCCAAUCCCCAUAUGCACGUGUCGUCAUGUCGUCCAUGCGUGCUGUCAGUGACCUCCGAAAGCCGCCAUGCCACCGAUGCCUUGCUUCCAUGGACCUCCUCGAUUGGUUGGGACUGUUCUUUGGUUUCCAAUGUGAUAACGUAAAGAACCAAUGGGAACACCUUGUUCUCUACUCGGCCAACGGCCAUAUACGUCUCUAUUUGCCACCAGUCGACAACAUUGGAACCUUUCAAGCUGUAGUCCUCCAUGAAUUCCACCAUAAGCUACUCAAAAACUACACCUAGUGUCUUACCUCGGUAGGGCAUCCAACGUUGACAGAUUCGAUUAUGAUACUCGUAGUCGUAGAGAGUAAGAUGCUUGUUAACUUAUCAAUUUAUUACCAUCAACAUUCAAUUAAAAUAGAAUCGUAAAAAAACUCAUAAGAUUCAAAAUAAAUAAAAUAACUACAAGAUAUGUUUCCAAAUCAUUUAACUCAAUCUUCACAAAUCAAAGGAUUCGAUUUGCUUGGUCCAGAUCAAUUCAAUCUUUAAAAAUAUGUUGCUCCACAAGAUUAAUCUUCAAAUAUAGAUCGUAUACGUCCAUAAUAUCAUUUAAGUCAUGGCUCGACUAUUUUGAUUUCAAAAUAUUGCCUACUCCACAAAUGCAAGUUACGAAUUCUAAACAAUGCCAAGUGUCGUUGUAAUUGUUCGUGCCAUUACUCUCAUAACAAUUUCAUUACAAUUUCAUUACAAUUAGCUCUUUCAAGGUUGAACAAGAUUUUCAUAUUUAGAGCACAAAUCUAGUUUCACAAAGCAACAUUUAAUUCAUGAGGAUCUAAAUCUCAUCAAAUCAAUUACUCUUAAUAUAAGAACACAAAGGAUUAAGACAAACUCAUAUUUUCUUGGAUAUAUCAGUAUGCAAGGUAAGUAGAUCACAUUAGGAUCAUUGAAAGGAAAAUCUUGUUUCAUCCAAUCUCAUUUCCAAUUAUAAUUAUAUGAUUGAUUGCACAAAAUUCUUAAAAAGAUAUAGGUAAAAAAUCCAACUUUUCGAAUUUUGAAAUUUCAGUCCUAACUCAAACCAUAAUUGUUAAAUCUUGUUGGUUAAAUUAUGCUGCUAAUAUUGUAUUAUGCAUAAAGUUGUUGAUUUUGUCCAUGUUCUCCAAUUGGAAUAUUCUAGUAUUUUAAUCUAUCAAAUUUUAAAAUUUCAGUAUUGAUGCAAACUAACUAUUAAAUCCAUUAGUUGACUUUUUUGUGAGUAACAUGCGGAAAUAAUAGUCUCUCAUGGAUUAUACAUGUAGAAAUAUGUUUAUCGCAUCAAAUUAUUAUUUUGGUUAUUUUCUAUCAAUUUGAUAUUGAUUCUAUAUACAAAUUAUAAAAAAAUGAAGUUUUAAAAAUAUAUAGAAAUUUAAAAAAUUAAAUAAAAAUAGAUAAAGUGAGAGAAAAUGAAGGGAAAAUUGUUUUUUCGUUGUAAUAAAAGAAAAAGAUUUGGAAUAUAAUUUGUUUUUACGAUUUGAGUUUUGAAAAAUAAUUUAAAUGAAUUUAAACGGUGAUAUCAUAGUCAAUUUCACAAGUCUCUGUAAUAUCCAUUCUGGGAGAAGUUCUUUAACAAUUUGAAACUCGACUUGAAGAUAUUAUUAAUUUGGUUCUAUUCUAUUGAACGAUGAUUUUCAUUCUCAUAUCUCAAUAUUGCACAAUCUUGAGCUUUAUUGCAAUAGAGAUUGAAAUUUUUAAUCAUAUUUAAGCUUUAUACCAAAUUAAUACUAUGUUAAGAGAUUGAAAUUGAUCUAUUUUUUUUUAUUCAUUUUCAUGAUUUUAUACAAUGUUGAAGAUUUAUUGUUGUAAUAAUCUGAAUUUUUUAUAUAGAAUUUUUUAAUUUUUUAAAAUAAUUUUAUAUAGAAAUAGAGCUGAAUUGAAAAAAAAAUAAAAGUAGAAAGUUAAAAUUCUUAUAAUACGAACUAAAAUAGAAUUUUUUAAUUUUUUAACUUUCUACUUUUAUAUUUUUUUAACUUAAUUUUAAAAACAUUAUUGAUGAAAUUAUUACUUUUCUGCAAAUUAAAUGAUGGAAAUUUACUUGUAAUUAAAUAUAAAAUAUAAAGUAUUAUAUAAAUAUUUUAAAAUAAUUUAUGCAAUUUGAUACAUAGUUGUUAGAUAUGUUUAUGGGUUGGGUUACUCAUCUAGGUCCGAAGGCUUGUUCGAAAUUUGGGAGGGUCUAGGUAAAAAUAUUAAGUUCGAAAAAUGGGUUUGGGAAAAAAAUUAGGCCCGUUUAAAAUUUGGGUCGGGCACAGCUGGUUUGAAAAUUUAAGGCCUGAACUCGGCCUGACUCGUUUUUAAGUUUAUAAUACUUUAUAUUAUGUUACUUUUAUAUAUUAUGUGAUUUAGAACAUAUUAAAAAAUAAACUUAUACUAAAUAUAUAAUAUCACUUUAAUGUAAACAUUAAAAUAAUUUUAAAAUAAUUAUAUAAAAAUUUUCAAUAAAUAAAAAAUUAUAAAAUUAUAAAAUAAAAUAAAAUGUAUUUUUUAAAAUUAAAAAAAUCUUUUUGUAAAUCUGGACAAGUUUAGACAAAAUUUUUGGUUCAUAUUUCAGGUUAGGUCGGGUUUAGACAAACAUAAAAUAUGCUAAUAUCAUGCUUAAACUUAAUCUGAUUAAUUCGACCCGACCCUACCUAUAAACACCUCUAUAAUAUAUUACACAUUUAUCUAAAAAAAAUUGAUAUAUAAUUGUAAUAGGAUGAAAUAAAUAAAUAAAUUAGACUACCAACUACAUAUCAAAUUCCUCCCGUUGACUUCCCAUAUCAAGUUUAGUAAUAUCAAGUCUUUGUUUUUUUCUUUCUAAGAAAGUUCCUGACAAUAUUAUUUUCUUUUUAAUAAUAGCUAAAUUUCAGCAUGCGGUCAAAGUCAUAUAUAAAUUACAAUGGUAAUUAAAACGAAAUUUAAAUAUAUUAAUAUUACUAAAUGAAUAUAAUUAUUUAUUAUGAUGUUGUCAUUAAUCUUAAAUUGGUGUCGAGUUAAUUUGUGACACCAUCUCAAUCGACAAUAUAUAUAUAUUGGUGAAUUACAAACAACAACUAGAAUUUAGGUCACUCUUGAGGCGGUGAACACCUUUGACCAUUAGGCCAAUACAUGGAGUUCUCAAUCGACAACAUUAUUAGUAUUCUAUCACAUGUGUAUGGGUAUGGAAACCACUAUUUAGAACACAGAUGUAUGUUUAAAAAUGACAUAUAAUAAGUAAUGAAAUGUAUGGUCGGAAACUAAUUAAUAAUAAAUGAAAUAUGUACAAUAUUAAAAUAAAGAAAUUAGAUCACAUUGUAAGUAAAAUGAAAUAUGUUCGGUUGACUCGUGAUACCAACUCAAUUAGGGGCUUAAAUAAUAGCAAGGAUAUAUAUUUCUACACAAACAAUUGAUGGAGGUAAUAAAAUGUGCAUAUUAAAAUAAAAAUGUAUAAAAAUAUCAAAAUAGAGUUUUGGUUUGAGUGACAAAUUUAAGCUUUUACUAACCUAAUUGGCAAGGGUUCAAAUUUUGAUUUAUGAAUAUUUUUAUUGGUUUUUAAAUAAAAAAUUAAGAUGCCCUCGAAUAAUAUAAUUUAUUUUAAUGACAAAAUAACAUUUCUAUAAGUUCUCUAACUGAAUUGGUGCCCAGUUGGCUCGUAACACCAACUCAAUCAGGUGCUUAAAUAAUAGUAAGUAUAGAUAUAAAUAUAUACAAUUGAUGGAGGUAAUAAAGUGUGAUAAUAAAAUUAAAAUGUAUAAAAAUAUUAAUAAUUUCUUUUUUAGCUGAGUGGUAAAUUAAAAUUAGUUUUACUAAUGCAAUUACUUUGGGUUUAAAUCUCACAAUAUGCGUAAUUGUUUUAGCUCGACUGGUAUGAGUAUUGUUGCAAAUGCAGGAGGAUGUGAGUUCCAAUGCGUUGAAGCGAAUUAUCCUCCAAUUUAUGAAUUGGGGAGAGAUUAUGGGUAGUUAUAUGUAUUGUGUCAAAAAGAGCACAUAUGAUCAAAAUUUAUAAUGACAUUUUUGUAUAAAGGUUAAAAUGUGUUAUUAGUCCCUAUAGUUUUACAAAAUUAUGGAAGGACAUUUUUGUAAUUCUCUAAUUAAAUUGGUAAUCCGAUUGAAGGUGACACGAACUUAGUAAAACACUUAAAUAGAUAGUAUAUAUACUAAUGGUUAAAUAAUAGUAAUAUAAUAUUUAUAUAAAUGUUAAAAUGUGUUGCUAGUCCCUGUAGUUGUACAAAAUUUGAGAUUAAGCCUUUGUAUUUUGAAAGUUAAAAAUUCAAUAAUCUACUUUUUAAAUUUAAAAAUCUUAACUUAAUUAUUAUCUUCGUCCGUAGUUUUGUCAAAAUCCGUCAACCUAACAUGUUUAUUUUCUGCCAAUCGUAUGUUAUGUGAUAUAAAGAUAACUUAAUUAAAAUUUCAAGUUAACAAAAAUUGACAAAAAAUAUUUAUAGUUUUCAUGAUAGAACCAAGAUUUUUAGACCAAUAAAAUAGAAAGACUUAAAAUUUAACUUACCUAACAAAAUAUUUUUAUUUUAUAUAAACUUAUUUCUUAGUCUUUUUUUAUAUUAUACAAUUAAAAAAUUGCUAUUCACACUUGUCCUAACAACAUACCCUUUUGUAUUCACUCAUAAGACCACUUGUGUUAGAACAAUAGUAAUUAAUAUAUAUUACAAAAUGAAUAAUUUAAGACUUGUGAUAAAAUAAUUUAUAAUUUAGGGUUUAAUUUUAUAAGCAAAAAAAGAAGAAGACAAAACUGACAACCGAACACAUUGACAAUCCUACUCAAGUUCCUGGUAUCCUGUUUGCAUUUCCUACAGUUUUGGUGCCAUGUCCCGACCCUGUAACCGGCUUUCACUAGAAGGCGAAGGGUACAACAUAAUCCCUGUUCACAAUCUCGAUGCCAGUCAUCCCUGCGUUCGGUACCCUGAAGUACGCGCUGUCUUAUUAUCCUUGCGCUCCUUGGGUAACCUCAGGGAGCCACCAUACCACACAUGGCAUCCUUCUUCCAUGGACCUCCUCGAUUGGUUGGGACUAUUCUUUGGUUUCCAA